rnacentral:rRNA from 1 species
GAUGAACGCUGGCGGCGUGCCUAAUACAUGCAAGUCGAACGCUUCACUUCGGUGAAGAGUGGCGAACGGGUGAGUAAUACAUAAGUAACCUGGCAUCUACAGGGGGGUAACUGAUGGAAACGUCAGCUAAGACCGCAUAGGUGUAGAGAUCGCAUGAACUCUAUAUGAAAAGUGCUACGUGACUGGUAGAUGAUGGACUUAUGGCGCAUUAGCUUGUUGGUAGGGUAACGGCCUACCAAGGCGACGAUGCGUAGCCGACCUGAGAGGGUGACCGGCCACACUGGGACUGAGACACGGCCCAGACUCCUACGGGAGGCAGCAGUAGGGAAUUUUCGGCAAUGGGGGAAACCCUGACCGAGAAACGCCGCGUGAAGGAAGAAGUAAUUCGUUAUGUAAACUUCUGUCAUAGAGGAAGAACGGUGGAUAUAGGGAAUGAUAUCCAAGUGACGGUACUCUAUAAGAAAGCCACGGCUAACUACGUG